CGCUCCUUAGUUCAUCUCUCGGUAGAACAGGGCACCUAUGCGGUGGGUUCGACUCCCACAGGAGCGC
rnacentral:tRNA from 1 species